rnacentral:rRNA from 1 species
CACGUAGGGGGCAAGCGUUGUCCGGAUUUAUUGGGCGUAAGGAGCUCGUAGGUGGUUCGGUAAGUCAGGUGUGAAACCUCCAGGCUCAACCUGGAGACGCCACUUGAUACUACUGUGACUGGAGUCCGGUAGGGGAGCGUGGAAUUCCUGGUGUAGCGGUGAAAUGCGCAGAUAUCAGGAGGAACACCAGCGGCGAAGGCGGCGCUCUGGGCCGGUACUGACACUGAGGAGCGAAAGCGUGGGUAGCAAACAGG